rnacentral:rRNA from 1 species
CCUACGGGUGGCUGCAGUGAGGAAUAUUGGUCAAUGGGCGCGAGGCUGAACCAGCCAAGUAGCGUGAAGGAUGACGGUCCUACGGGUUGUAAACCUCUUUUAUAAAGGAACAAAGUGAGCCACGUGUGCCUCUUUGCAUGUACUUUAAGAAAAAGCAUCGGCUAACUCCGUGCCAGCAGCCGCGGUAAUACGGAGGAUGCGGGCGUUAUCCGGAUUUAUUGGGUUUAAGGGGUGCGCAGGCGGUUGGUUAAGUCAGCGGUAAAAUUUGGGGGCUCAACCCCGUAGUGCCGUUGAAACUGGCGGUCUUGAGUGAGCUUGAGGUAUGCGGAAUGCGUGGUGUAGCGGUGAAAUGCAUAGAUAUCACGAAGAACUCCGAUUGCGAAGGCAGCUUAC